GGGCCAGUGGGUAAAGCUUAAACGCUCGUCUGCUCCAUUCUAAAUGGGCUGUGGUUUGGGGCCUGGCGCUGUGGUCUGGCCUGGCCCCCUUACAGUCGCCAUAGAGACAAUACCUGAGUUGCCUUGCUGAGAGAGAAGAGAGACAGAGGGAAAGAGGCAGAAAGAAUUUCAUACUUAAAGAAUAUGGAAGAAGGUCAUCAGUGGAACUCACAACAGAUCAACAGCCGACAUCAUACUCAACUCUCCUCUGUCCCAGGAAAACCAAAGCCCUCAUAACUCUCCACUUCUCUCUGGUCUGCGGGAAC